rnacentral:rRNA from 1 species
GAUGAACGCUGGCGGCGUGCCUAAUACAUGCAAGUCGAGCGAACAGACGCGGAGCUUGCUCCUCUGACGUUAGCGGCGGACGGGUGAGUAACACGUGGAUCCCCUACCUAUAAGACUGGUAUAACUUCGGGAAACCGGCGAUAAUCCCGGAUAAUCUCUUGAACCGAAUGGUUCAAUAGUGAAAGACGGUUUUGCUGUCACUUAUAGAUGGAUCCCCGCCGCAUUAGCUAGUUGGUAAGGUCACAGCUUAUCCAGGCGACUAUGCGUAGCCGACCGGAGAGAGGGAUCGGCCACACUGGAGCGGAAACGCGGUCCAGACGCCUACGGUAGGCAGCAGUAUGGAAUGUUCCGCAAUGGGCGAAAGCCUUACGGAGCAACGCCACGUGAGUGAUGAAGGUCUCCGGAUCGUAAUACUCUGUUACGAGUUAAAAACAAAUUUGUAAUUAACUAUGCACGUCUUGACGGUACUGAAUCAGAAAGCCACGGCUAACUACGUG